rnacentral:rRNA from 1 species
GACGAACGCUGGCGGCGUGCUUAACACAUGCAAGUCGAGCGAUGAAGCUCCUUCGGGAGUGGAUUAGCGGCGGACGGGUGAGUAACACGUGGGUAACCUGCCUCAUAGAGGGGAAUAGCCUUUCGAAAGGAAGAUUAAUACCGCAUAUGGUAGCUUUAUCGCAUGGUAGUGCUAUUAAAGGAGUAAUCCGCUAUGAGAUGGACCCGCGUCGCAUUAGCUAGUUGGUGAGGUAACGGCUCACCAAGGCGACGAUGCGUAGCCGACCUGAGAGGGUGAUCGGCCACAUUGGGACUGAGACACGGCCCAGACUCCUACGGGAGGCAGCAGUGGGGAAUAUUGCACAAUGGGGGAAACCCUGAUGCAGCAACGCCGCGUGAGUGAUGACGGUCUUCGGAUUGUAAAGCUCUGUCUUUAGGGACGAUAAUGACGGUACCUAAGGAGGAAGCCACGGCUAACUACGUGCCAGCAGCCGCGGUAAUGCACG